UACUCCUAAUUGUUUGAUGAUCCGCAUGUUUGGACACAACUACAAUGCUUGUGCUCAUUUUGGAAAGUUUAUUGUAAUUCAAUCAAACCGCAGUAGUUGGUUUCAGAAUGCCCCAGGCUAAUCUGAGGUUUCUGUCCCAUGACAUUGACGAGACGAGAGUAGGGUUUCUCUCUGAUGACUCCUCCAUAUUUGUGGAGCAACGUGACAGUGAAGGACUGCACACUGAGUUAACUGAUAAACUUUCCUGUGGAUGGUAUACAGUGAUAUGUUGGCUUCCUGACAGGUCUACAAACAAAUAUGCCAGAGACCUUUGGUAAUUUCUCUUGCUCUUUGUUUUCCCUUCUUUAAACAUUUGAAUACAAUUUAAGCCUA